UUGUCUUAUUUUAUUAUUUCAAAUAUAUUUUUCAUGUAGAAACUUGAUAAAUUUUUCCUGCCGCCUGUUAGAAAUUUGAAAAUAAAUUUAUUUUACAAUUUUCAAAUAAAAUAAACAAAAAUUAUAGCGAAAAAUAAAUUACCCGGAAAAUAUAAAAGUUUUUUUUGGAAACUAUGGAUAAUUCUGUCAUACCAUUACCCGAAAUAAAUAAAGGAUCUUUAGAUCCUGUUCCCUUAAAAUCUCAAGAGGUUGCCAAAGAUAAUGUAGAUAAUUCUUCAGCCCGAUCGAGUGUUAAAAGUUGUAAAACAACUGUUGGAUCUGAAGCAAGUAGCAAAUCUAUACCAAAAUUAGUCAAUACAAAGGCUGCAAGUAAAAGUCUAAUAAGUCUUAACAAAAAUGAAAAUCUCAACAAAACCUCAAUAGCUCAAGCUAGAAAAACUACCUCGCCAAAUUCUUUAAAACCGCCUGUGAAGUCCAAAAUUCCGGCCAUGAAAAGAUCGCCCAGUUCCACUUCUAACAUAAACAACAAAACAACAGUACCACAAAAACCUCAAGGACGUACUCCACUGUGCCAGAAAAUUCCCCAACUAAAGCUUUCAACUGAAAAGCAAUCGCUGAACAUGAUUAGGAGCUCUAAGUCUAAAUCAAGCAUAAGCAGAUCCGUAUCACCGAAAAUUGAGGAAAUACCCGGUAGCAUUUCAAAAUCUAGUUUUUUAACAUCUGGAACAACUUUAAAACAAGCGGAAAUGAUAGCUAAAAGCCAAUCUGCUCGUUCAAAAUCAGAAUCGCCGGGGUCAGGUGCUAGUAAAAGAAGCGCAUCCAACAUAUCGACACGAAGUACACCCUGUGCCAGAAGAAAGGGGGAGAAAGAAACAAAUUUACGCAAAAUGUUAUCAACUGCUGGAGACCAUAAGCAAAUUGACCGACUUGAAAGUAACACAAAACCCGAGCAAAUUGGACGUCAACAGAUAACCGAAAACCUUAAGGAAAUCUCAACAGAGGAAAUUAAAUCCCCGGAUAUAGUUAAUGAUUUUAAGGAUAAACUUAAAACGCAUAUGGAUCAGUGGUUUUCCAGUUUUAAGGAUGAGUUAAACAAUACUAAGGAAGCUAAUGCAGUUGAUUUAGAAAAUAUGGAACAGCUGCAAAUCUUGCAAUCGAAUGGUAUUUUAUCCUUAAUAGACGAUUGGUGUGCCUCAACUGUAGAGGGUUGUGAUUCGAAAAUUGUGAACUUGCAAAAGAUGUUAGAGGAAUCGAAUAAAUGUUUGAGGGAUUCGGAACAGAAGUGUAAUGAGUUAACUAAACGGCUUGAUGAGGAAAGUAUUAAAUGGGAAAAGGAGUUGGCGGAGAAAGCUGCGGCAGAUCAUGAGGAAAUAAAAGAGUUACAAAAUAAAUUAAAAACUCAAGAUAAGCUAAACAAAUCCUCUAUACAAAAUAUGGAAAAGGAAAAGAAUAAUUUACUAGCUGAGAAAAAUCGCUUGCAUGAAGAUCUAAAUACCUGCAAAGAGCGCAUUGCUAACGCCAAUACAAAACUUCAAGCCUCCGAACAACAAUUGAGCCAAUUCAAAAAGGAUUUAAAAUCGAAAGUGGAAAUAAUCAAGAAAUUUGAAAGUGAUUUGGAGGAUAAAAAGAAAUUGGAAACAAAUUUGACCGAAGUUACUAACAAACUAGAAGAGCUGCAAAAUAAAUUAAAGAACAAAUCCCAUAACGAAUGUGUGGAACAUGUAAAGCAAAUUUCCGAAUUAACUAAUAGAGUUAACUGUUUGGAAACUGAUAAAGAGGCUAUGAGUCAUCAAAAUGAACAGCUAAAGCAGGAACUAAAUGAUGUGGCAAUUAUGCGUGAAAAACUUUUGGAAACCGAGCAAAGAUUGCAAGACCUACAAAAAAAGCUUGAGGCUAAAGAAAAUACCGCUGAAAUUGUGCCCGACUAUUCUAAAGAAGUGCAAUUGGAGUUUGCCAAAUUUCGUCAAGCCGAUGCGGAAAAACGACGUGAAAUCGAUAAGCUAAAGGUAGAGCUUUCGAAGGCUCAAUUCAGUAUGUGCCAGCUGGAACAGCAAAUACAACGUGAUCUGCAAUUGCUGGAAGUGCGCAGUGAACUCAUUAAUUCAUUGCAGUCAAAUGAAAAAACUAAUCGCAUUCACAUGGAGGAGCUGUUUGCCCAAGUGAGCGAAAAGAAUACCACAAUAAAUGAGCUUAAUGGUGAAUUGCAAACAAAAUCGGAAGAAUUCCGCAAUUUAUUUACCAAUUUAAGUGCUAAACAAGUGGAAGUAGCAAAUCAAGAGCACAUUAUUAAACUGCUGGAGGAGAGUAAUGAACGCAGCCAAAUGUUGCGUGUGAAACAGGAGGAAAAAAUAGGUCGCAUGGAGGAAGAGUUGGCACAUCUUAAGCAGACGAUCAAAAUCUAUCAACAGCAUUGUCAAAGCGCCUUUCUAAUGCCCUACUAAAGCAGACGUUUCUUUUUUAUAUCAGCCAUACUCAACGGAAAACUUUGUUUAGACAUAAACCAAAUUUAAACUAUAAAAUAAUUCUAACAGUACAAAGCCCUUUAUCACAGCAACAUUUUAAGCGGCCACACAGGCAAACAUUUACUCUACACUCCGGUUUUACCGCCCAGCAAUGUGGAAGCUAAUGAAAAUUGUUAUUAUUAUGUGAGUCAACGCAAGCGUAAACGUCAAGUGGAU